AACGAACGCUGGCGGUAUGCUUUACACAUGCAAGUCGAACGAAAUUAAGCUAAAGCUUGCUUUAGCUUAAUUUAGUGGCAAACGGGUGAGUAACACGUGGGAAUCUACCCAUCAGUACGGAAUAACUUUUGGAAACAAAAGCUAAUACCGUAUAUUCUCGUAAGAGGAAAGAUUUAUCGCUGAUGGAUGAGCCCGCGCCUGAUUAUGGUAGUUGGUAGGGUAAAGGCCUACCAAGCCAACGAUCAGUAGCUGGUCUGAGAGGAUGGUCAGCCACACUGGGACUGAGACACGGCCCAGACUCCUACGGGAGGCAGCAGUGAGGAAUAUUGGACAAUGGGCGAAAGCCUGAUCCAGCAAUACCGCGUGAAUGAUGAAGGCCUUAGGGUUGUAAAGUUCUUUUAGUAGGGAAGAUAAUGACGGUACCUACAGAAAAAGACCCCGGCUAACUCCGUG
rnacentral:rRNA from 1 species